rnacentral:lncRNA from 1 species
UCUCAAGUUAUAAGCCUUUGAAUCUCAGCAGGCGCUCUUGGAAAAAAAGGACCCAAGCAAAACGCACAGACUACCUUUAGAAAAACAAUUGUGAAAAAUCAAUUUUUUAGUCUUUUGACUUUAAAUUUUGAGUGUAGCAAGCUGAGACCUGUGGCUAUGGCCUAAUGUGUCUGCUGUGUCCAUAGACACACCUGAGCCCUUAUAUCUUAGUCAGUUUAUUGACAUUUGAAUUGGACGGAAACCAAAACCUGUUCCAACCUCUGUAACUCUGUGUCAGUAUGUCAUAGAAUCACACUUACACUUCGGAAAACACUUGAGCGUGUUACCUUUCCAAUGGUACCAAGCACAUCCCCGAGUCUCAAACUGUGUGGAGCUGUCAUGGUUUUAAUUUCAGUAUGUCGUAUGUCGAGGUUAAUGCUUGGUCCUGAUCAGAACCUGAGUGUGAGUGUUUGGUCCUGCAGUUGUUGAGUCGUGUCGCUCCUCCUCAGGUGAAACAUGGCCAUCACCUGGCUCGUCGUCGUCAUGGCGGUCGCCGUCUUCGUCUCCAUGGUGCUGCUGGCGGUGGUGUGUGUGCGCUGCAGGACCGACGGGCCUCUGGGUGAGACGCCGCCUCAACACAUGGUUAACAGCUGCUGAACUGACCUACAUGUUACUUCCUGUGGUUUGAACCAGUUCACAGCCACAGCUCAGCGCUGACGGUCAACCAGGACAACACUGAUUUAUUUUUACAUUUGAAUCAUUCAGACAAGAUGAAACUAACGUCUGGUUUGUUGUGUUCACAGUGUCCAUCAGACAGGCGACAGAGGAAUCCACUGAGUUCAGAGUCAUCCACCCAGCCCAGCCAACAAUCGGUCGUAACUCCGUCCAUCCUUCCUCCAACCUGCUGUCGCCUUACUCUCCUUCAGUCGAUCUCGGGACUCAGAGGAAACACAGAUCCUUCACCACAGAAACUGAGAGUAAUCCCAGCUAUGAGAAUCCAGCUGACGGUCCCGACUACAUAAACGAGAGCGACGGAGAUGAAUCCGGAUACAUAGUCGUGCUGCCUGAAGGUGACGCUCCCCCCGAUCAGAGCCGACCCUCCACGCCCAGCUCAGAUAAUCUACAUGAUUAUGAAAACAUCCCAACAAAGGAAGACGCAGCUUCCACCAACAAGUCGUCGGUCAGCCCGAGUCCGACCCGGCUGUCUGAGGACGGAGACGACGACGACCGAGAGUAUCUGAAUGUGGAACCGCUGCACUCUCAAAAUCCGUCGACUGACAGCGACACCGAGGACGAUGACGAGGGGAACUACGUCAACGUGAACAGCAGCGUCUGAAGGACGUCAGCCGCCUGCUUCCUCCUCCACCUUCCACUGCCGGCGGUGUUUAAUUCAAAGUGUUGAACUGAGAAAAGAAAGUGAUUUGUGUCCGAGGUGCUGAAGGUUCUGCUCAGGUCGGGUCUCAUGUCAUGAUCUUUAUUUUAAACCCAGCUGAGGAGACACUCAUCAUCUCUCACCAGUAAUUAUCUUCAGCUAUCUGUUUUAAUAAUGACGUCAACGACCUCCAACAGUCAGACGUCACUGAGCGUCGGUCCGGUCCGGUCCGGUCCGGUCCAGAACCGGUUUAUCUUUCUUUCUUUCUUCUCUACUUUGAUUUUCUCUCUUUCCUCCGACAGAACGACUCGUCUGUUCACUUCCAGCUUUACUUUCAUUUACUGACAACUCCUGAGAAUGUCUGAGCUCACAAAACGUUUGUUUUUCACAGUGUAUUUAUGUGUUGUUGUUGCCAUGGUUACUGUGUCUCUGGAUCUGUGUGAACUAGAAUUUUUUUUUAAAUAACUACAAUUAAACUUUAACAGAAAUGUGACGUCUCUGGUUUUCUCUGUUUCUGUCGUCGUCUGUUCGCGAGUUUGAAACCGAGCAGACGACUUUAAAUGAAUCCAAACACUUUGUUUAUUAUUAAUGAGUAAAAACUACAUUUGUGAAGAACAAAUUAUCAGGAGAAAUUUGUAUUUUUCAUAAUUUUUUAACAUCUGUGAAAUUUUUUAGGAUUUUUAUUUCAC